UACGUAGGGUGCGAGCGUUAAUCGGAAUUACUGGGCGUAAAGCGUGCGCAGGCGGUUGUGCAAGACAGAUGUGAAAUCCCCGGGCUCAACCUGGGAAUUGCAUUUGUGACUGCACGGCUAGAGUGUGUCAGAGGGGGGUAGAAUUCCACGUGUAGCAGUGAAAUGCGUAGAUAUGUGGAGGAAUACCGAUGGCGAAGGCAGCCCCCCUGGGAUAACACUGACGCUCAUGCACGAAAGCGUGGGGAGCAAACAGG
rnacentral:rRNA from 1 species